UGCAAGUCGAACGCCCCGCAGGGGAGUGGCAGACGGGUGAGUAACGCGUGGGAACAUACCCUUUCCUGCGGAAUAGCUCCGGGAAACUGGAAUUAAUACCGCAAACGCCCUACGGGGGAAAGAUUUAUCGGGGAAGGAUUGGCCCGCGUUGGAUUAGCUAGUUGGUGGGGUAAAGGCCUACCAAGGCGACGAUCCAUAGCUGGUCUGAGAGGAUGAUCAGCCACAUUGGGACUGAGACACGGCCCAAACUCCUACGGGAGGCAGCAGUGGGGAAUAUUGGACAAUGGGCGCAAGCCUGAUCCAGCCAUGCCGCGUGAGUGAUGAAGGCCUUAGGGUUGUAAAGCUCUUUCACCGAUGAAGAUAAUGACGGUAGUCGGAG
rnacentral:rRNA from 1 species